GAAAACAGGGGCACUUGGAGGGUCUCGCUUCCCCAUUCUGAAAGAGGAGCCAGAGUGGUCCAGCUUUAGUGGGGAGGCUGUUGUCAAGGCAACCAUGAUUCAUCCAGCCCAGCCUUUGUGACAUCACUCACUGCUGGCUUCAAAGGCACCAACUGCAACUGAUCAGCAGUUGGCAGUGAAGAGCAGGAGUGAAAGAGUUGGCGGUGAGUUUGAAGUCCUGGCCCCCAAGGCAAUGAUCAGGUCCAUUGCUGCAGCCCUCCUCUGCCUCAUCCGGACUUCCCUGAGCUUCAAGAGGCUGUGAGAGCUGCUGCAAGAGGAACAAGGUCCACCCCAUGGUCUCAAAGGAAGAUCCUUGUGGGUCGCCAGGAGGUGGAAACAGGCAAGUCUGGGGGUCCAGCAGCAGAACAAGUAUACCAGUAAAUUGCUUUCCCUUGGCGCUACAUUGGAUUCAGUCCUAUGUUUCUACAUUGAACUCCCCACCACCAGAAGAAUAAUAAAAAGUCUGGAGAAGCAUCAGCAACUUAGGUUGAGGGCAAGUAUUUUUGCUCUCGCCCAUUCCCUUGUCCGUAACACCCUUACCUCAAUGGCCUUGUAAAAGAUGCUGUUCCCAAUUUGGACCACCUCCAGGUUCUGCUCCUGCUCAUUUCUGGCACACUUGAUGUAUGUCAUCCAGCUGCGAUGGUCCUCUUGGCUGGCAUCAAUGAAAUAACGGACAGUUCCAUCUUCAUUGAAGACCUGGAAAGAAGGGCAAGAGGGUUUCAGUCCAUGAAUCACACCCACCUACCGCAUCUGAAUAGAUGCAUCCAGGUUAUCCCACCCCAGAAAAGUGGCCAGCCAGAUGUUCCAAAGGAAAGCCUGCAAAACAGGCCUGAGUGCAACAGCAACCCUCUCUUCCCGUGGCUUUCAGCUACUGGGUAUUCAGAAGCAUUACUGCCUCUGACCAUGGAUGCAGAGCAUUUAGCCAUUGUGGCUGGUAGCCAUGGAUAGACUUGUUCCAUAGUUGAACCAAGAGCUGCAUGAAGAAGUCCUUUCUUUGAUCUGUCCUGAAUCCUCCAACACUCAGCUUCAUUGGAUGCCCAUGUGUUCUAGCAUCACGAGAGAGGAAGGAAAGCUUUUCUCUAUCCACUUUGUCCAUGCCAAGCAUAAAUUUAUACACUUA